rnacentral:rRNA from 1 species
UACAGAGGGUGCGAGCGUUGUCCGGAAUCACUGGGCGUAAAGGGCGCGUAGGCGGCCCGGUAAGUCGGAGGUGAAACGCUGCGGCUCAACCGCAGCACUGCCUUCGAGACUGCCAGGCUGGAGCACGGUAGAGGCUAGCGGAAUUCCCGGUGUAGCGGUGGAAUGCGUAGAGAUCGGGAAGAACAUCGGUGGCGAAGGCGGCUAGCUGGGCCGUUGCUGACGCUGAGGCGCGAAAGCGUGGGGAGCAAAC